UCGAGAGUAUUGCAGGUCCAAGUGCUUGCAGUAGAGUGAUGUGUAAAUUCAGCAAUCCACUGGCGGAGUAAUGUGCGUAUAGGGAUUAUGCAUUGUGUGAUGAUUCUGCAAUGCCCUGAGUUACGUUUCCGUUAGUUGUCUAUUCCAGUCUGUAUAGGGACUUGACGGUGCAUCAUGCCUUUAUGACAAGUGUAUCUGUUGUUUUCCGGUACAUUCAUUUACAGUGAUUGCUUUUCCG
rnacentral:sRNA from 12 species